rnacentral:rRNA from 1 species
UCCCUACGGGGGGCUGCAGUCGAGAAUUUUUGGCAAUGGGCGAAAGCCUGACCAAGCGAUGCCGCGUGCGGGAUGAAGGCCUUCGGGUUGUAAACCGCUGUCAGUGGGGAGGAAAGCUUUGUGAAGAGCAAGGCUUGACCUAUCCGCAGAGGAAGUGUGGGCUAAGUUCGUGCCAGCAGCCGCGGUAAGACGAACCACACAAACGUUAUUCGGAAUUACUGGGCUUAAAGGGUGCGUAGGCUGCGCAGUAAGUUGGGUGUGAAAUACCUCGGCUCAACCGAGGAACUGCGCCCAAAACUACUGUGCUUGAGGAAGAUAGAGGUAAGCGGAACUUACGGUGGAGCGGUGAAAUGCGUUGAUAUCGUAAGGAACACCUGUGGCGAAAGCGGCUUACUGGGUCUUUUCUGACGCUGAUGCACGAAAGCUAGGGGAGCAAACGGGAUUAGAUACCCGAGUAGUCUA